AUUGAACGCUAGCGGGAUGCUUUACACAUGCAAGUCGAAUGAGUGGCGGACGGGUGAGUAAUAUAUCGGAACGUGCCCAGUAGCGGGGGAUAACUAAUCGGAAGAGUGGCUAAUACACCAUACUAUUGGAGCGGCCGAUAUCGGCUUAGCUAGUGGGUGGGGUAAAGACUCACCAAGGCAACGAUCAGUAGCUGGUGUGAGCGGACGACCAGCCACACUGGGACUGAGACACGGACCAGAAUCCUACGGGAGGCAGCAGUGGGGAAUUUUGGACAAUGGGGGAAACCCUGAUCCAGCCAUCCCGCGUGUAUGAGAAGGCCUUCGGGUUGUAAAGUACUUUUGGCAGAGAAGCGGUAUCUGCAGAAUAAGCACCGGCUAACUACGUGCCAGCCGCCGCGGUAAUUC
rnacentral:rRNA from 1 species